CCCCGCCGCAUUUUUGCGCCUGUCCCAAGUCAGGAGCCUCUGGCAUUUGUUAGUCUUGUAUUAUUUUAAUUUUAGUUUCUUGUGUACAAUUUGGAAAUUAGUAUGGCGUUCAUUAUCACUGAACUAGUAUAUAUUUGUUUAGGGGCCAGUUGAAGGACGCCUCCGGGUGCGGGAAUUUCUCGCUACAUUGAAGACCUGUUGGUGAU
rnacentral:lncRNA from 1 species